AUGCUCUUACGAAAUGAAUUUUGUCUUCAAGGAGAUUCAUACAAAGGACUUUUUAUCAACAAAUACAGAAUUCAGAAACUCUCAGUGCAGGAACCUCAGGAUAUUUGGGGGACCUUGAAAAGAGGAAUACACCCAAAUCUACAGCAGGAACAAAAUUAUGUUGAGCUACAAAACCAAUCAUCCUGCUGGAUGUGUGGCUUACUGCCCAUAUCAAGCACUUCAAGCCUCCCUUGGUGGGUUUCUCCAUUACAAGAUGAUCCUUACUACUUGAUACAAAUUCAACCAUUGUGUCCCCUCUGGAAUCUACAAUAA
rnacentral:lncRNA from 1 species